GACAGAGGUGCCGAGCGUUAGGCGGAAUCACUGGGCUUAAAGCGUGUGUAGGCGGCCCGUUAAGUGUCUUGUGAAAUCCCCCGGCUCAACCGGGGAACUGCUGGGCAUACUGGCGGGCUUGGGUCGCUCAGGGGCAGACGGAACAGGCGGUGGAGCGGUGAAAUGCGUAGAUAUCGGAAGGAACACCGGUGGCGAAAGCGGCGCGCUGGACCUCUUCUGACGCUGAGGCGCGAAAGCCAGGGGAGCGAACGGG
rnacentral:rRNA from 1 species